rnacentral:Y_RNA from 1 species
AGCUGGCUCGAGUGCAGUGGUGUUUACAACUAAUCAAUCAGAACCAGUUAUAGAUUUCUUUGUUCCUUCUCCACUUCUUCACUCUCAAUGCUUCCCUUGACCAGCCUAAA